rnacentral:rRNA from 1 species
GUAGGGAAUAUUGGACAAUGGGGGCAACCCUGAUCCAGCCAUGCCGCGUGAGUGAAGAAGGCCCUCGGGUUGUAAAGCUCUUUUGUCCGGAAAGAAAAGCAUUCGGUGAAUACCCGGAUGUUCUGACGGUACCGGAAGAAUAAGCACCGGCUAACUUCGUGCCAGCAGCCGCGGUAAUACGAAGGGUGCAAGCGUUACUCGGAAUUACUGGGCGUAAAGCGUGCGUAGGUGGUUGUUUAAGUCUGAUGUGAAAGCCCUGGGCUCAACCUGGGAAUGGCAUUGGAAACUGGGCCGCUAGAGUGCGGUAGAGGGGAGUGGAAUUCCCGGUGUAGCAGUGAAAUGCGUAGAGAUCGGGAGGAACAUCUGUGGCGAAGGCGACUGCCUGGACCAGCACUGACACUGAGGCACGAAAGCGUGGGGAGCAAACA